rnacentral:rRNA from 1 species
UGGGGAAUAUUGGACAAUGGGCGCAAGCCUGAUCCAGCCAUGCCGCGUGAGUGAUGAAGGCUCUAGGGUUGUAAAGCUCUUUCACCGGUGAAGAUAAUGACGGUAACCGGAGAAGAAGCCCCGGCUAACUUCGUGCCAGCAGCCGCGGUAAUACGAAGGGGGCUAGCGUUGUUCGGAUUUACUGGGCGUAAAGCGCACGUAGGCGGACUUUUAAGUCAGGGGUGAAAUCCCGGGGCUCAACCCCGGAACUGCCUUUGAUACUGGAAGUCUUGAGUAUGGUAGAGGUGAGUGGAAUUCCGGGUGUAGAGGUGAAAUUCGUAGAUAUUCGGAGGAACACCAGUGGCGAAGGCGGCUCACUGGACCAUUACUGACGCUGAGGUGCGAAAGCGUGGGGAGCAAACAGG